CGAGUAGAUGCGCUUGUUUUGAGAUCAAAGCAAGAGCUACAUGUGUACAUUUGUUCAUAUUAUUUGCUAGUUAGUGAGUUACUAGCCCAGUUAUAACUAAAUUCCAGUCAGUGGUUGCUUCCUACAGGAGCACUAAAUGUGUGCAUUUCUUUGUCAGUACGAACUGGCCAUGACAGACCCAGCAGACUUGGACCAGCUCCGCCACGCUGUCUCCCUGCAGGGAGCCACCAUUGGGAGGGGAGGCAUGAGGAGCUGUUACAGGACCUUCUGGAAGGGCUCCGUUCCUUGACGGAACGCCACGACCAAAUGUUUAAGGAGAUUAUGGACCAAAUCAGUUCAUCCCUCCCCCUGGGACAUCAAUGGCUAGCCGGCGAAUACGGUGAGACACCUCUUGAGGGUUCGACCACGGGUCAGGGGUUUCCAGUACCUGGUUCACUGGGAGGCUUAUGAUCCGGAGGAUAGGUGCUGGGUUCCUGCUAAAGACAUCCUGGACCCAGUCCUCAUCGAAGAGAUUUUCAUCACCGACACCCCGGUCAGCCAGGUUCCUAGAGGGGGAGGGGGGGUACUGUCAAGCCCUGAUCUGUUUCACCUGUUCUUGUGAUUAUCUCCACCUCCUUCAGUUGUUGCGUAUUUAUCCCAG
ensembl:lncRNA